rnacentral:rRNA from 1 species
UACGUAGGUGGCAAGCGUUAUCCGGAAUUACUGGGCGUAAAGGGUGAGUAGGCGGUUUAAAAAGUCUGCAGUGAAAGGCAAUGGCUCAACCAAUGCAUGCUGUAGAAACUGAUAGACUAGAGUGCAGGAGAGGUUAACGGAAUUCCAUGUGUAGCGGUGAAAUGCGUAGAUAUAUGGAGGAACACCAGUGGCGAAGGCGGUUAACUGGACUGAAACUGACGCUGAGGCACGAAAGCGUGGGGAGCAAAUAGG